GACGAACGCUGGCGGCGUGCUUAACACAUGCAAGUCGAACGAAGUGGCGAACGGGUGAGUAACGCGUAAUCAACCUGCCCUUCAGAGGGGGACAACAGUUGGAAACGACUGCUAAUACCGCAUACUGAAGGAGGGGAUUGAGUCGGAUUAGCUAGUUGGAGGGGUAACGGCCCACCAAGGCGAUGUUCAGUAGCCGGUCUGAGAGGAUGAACGGCACAAUUUGGACUGAGAAACGGCCCAGACUCCUACGGGAGGCAGCAGUGGGGAAUCGUCCGCAAUGGACGAAAGUCUGACGGAGCAACGCCUCGGGAGUGAUGACGGCCUUCGGGUUGUAAAGCUCUGUUAAUCGGGACGCGGUACCGGAAUAGAAAGCCACGGCUAACUACGUGCCAGCAGCCGCGGUAAUUC
rnacentral:rRNA from 1 species